rnacentral:lncRNA from 1 species
CUUACUGAGUCUUGGCUGCUUCUUCUUCUUCUAGAGUAACCACCAAGCUCUCUUGGAUCAUGUAAGCUUCAACAACCAAGAAGUUUAAUAAAUCUCAUAGGAGUUGGGAUGAAGAAGUUAUCCCACUUUCUAAUCAGGUGAUUCCAGUUUCCCAGUUUGGGAAUAGGACAGCUUCUUCGGCGUUCCAAUCAAACCAGGAUGAAUCACGUUGUAAGAAGCUUGAUUUGGAUACAUAAAGUGGUGGAGAAUCACCAGGAAGUUGAAUUAAUCUCAUAGGUAUG